UUUUGCCGGCGAGCGGCGGACGGGUGAGUAUGCUGGGAAAUUGCCCAGUCGAGGGGGAUAACAGUUGGAAACGACUGCUAAUACCGCAUACGCCCUACGGGGGAAAGCAGGGGACCUUCGGGCCUUGCGCGAUUGGAUAUGCCCAGGUGGGAUUAGCUAGUUGGUGAGGUAAUGGCUCACCAAGGCGACGAUCCCUAGCUGGUCUGAGAGGAUGAUCAGCCACACUGGAACUGAGACACGGUCCAGACUCCUACGGGAGGCAGCAGUGGGGAAUAUUGCACAAUGGGGGAAACCCUGAUGCAGCCAUGCCGCGUGUGUGAAGAAGGCCUUCGGGUUGUAAAGCACUUUCAGCGAGGAGGAAAGGUCAGUAGCUAAUAUCUGCUGACUGUGACGUUACUCGCAGAAGAAGCACCGGGCUAACUCCGUGCCAGCAGCCGCGGUAAUACGGAGGGUGCAAGCGGUUAAAUCGGAAUUACCUGGGCGUAAAGGCGGCAACGCAGGCGGCCUGGUCAAAGUUCGGGAAUGUGAAAUCCCCGGGGUCAACCUUGGGAACUGGCUUCCGGAAACUGGGCAAGGCCAAAAAGUCUGGACAAGGGGGGG
rnacentral:rRNA from 1 species